rnacentral:tRNA from 1 species
GGGGGUAUAGCUCAGUGGUAGAGCAUUUGAUUGCAGAUCAAGGGGCUCCCGGUUCAAAUCCGGGUGCCCCCUCA